UACAAGUAGACAGGGUCAAAAGUGAGGGAAAAUUCAGAUGUUAUGAAAUCCGACAUUUAAUUCAACUGUAAUGAUAAUAGUUAUCGACAGAAGUAUUGAUAGUUAAAUCAUUGCUGACAGUUAAAAAAAAUCUAACCUCUGUACAAACCAGUUUUUUUUUCUGUGUUAAUUUAAUCUCCAUUUAAUUUUAUUGAAAUUCUUGAACUGCAGCUUAUCGCCAUGAAAAUUUCUCAGACUAGUUUUUUUUUAUUAUUGUUUAUUGUUGUGACUGUGGCCGAAAAUGAAACGUGCAUUAGAAUAUUUGAAGAGUGCACGCUAGGUGGAACUCCAUGCUGUCCAUUUAUUCAUAAUAUGACAUCAUUCUUGAUACGUGCUGAAUAUUACAUUGAAUGUCGGCAAAAGCGUUUGCUUGGCGUGAACAAAGAUUCAAAGAAAACAACUAUAUCUAAAUGUAAUUUAAUAUUGAGUCGUAUUCUAGCUUCUAAUGAAACGGCGAAAGAUAUUGAAUAAAAUUGAGUAUUUUACAAAUAAUAAUAAAAAAAAUUUGGAAAAUCCAAAAGUGAACGAGUCAUAAUGCUCAUUUAUUAUGAAAUAAUAAAAUAAUAACAAAAAAAUGGCGGGAAGCACGAAUAAAUUUAAAAUAUCAAAAAUU